GACGUAGGGGGCCAGCGUUGCUCGGAAUUACUGGGCGUAAAGGGCGCGUAGGCGGCCUGUUAAGUCGAACGUGAAAUCCCCGGGCUCAACCCGGGAACUGCGUCCGAUACUGGCAGGCUUGAAUUCGGGAGAGAGAUGCGGAAUUCCAGGUGUAGCGGUGAAAUGCGUAGAUAUCUGGAGGAACACCGGUGGCGAAGGCGGCAUCCUGGACCGAGAUUGACGCUGAGGCGCGAAAGCCAGGGGAGCAAACGGG
rnacentral:rRNA from 1 species